UACGUAUGGUGCAAGCGUUAUCCGGAUUUACUGGGUGUAAGGGGAGCGCAGGCGGCGCGUUAAGCCUGGUGUGAAAGCCCGCGGCCCAACCGCGGGACUGCAUUGGGAACUGGCGCGCUGGAGUGCCGGAGGGGUAGGCGGAGUUCCUAGUGUAGCGGUGAAAUGCGUAGAUAUUAGGAGGAACACCAGUGGCGAAGGCGGCCUACUGGACGGUGACUGACGCUGAGGCUCGAAAGCGUGGGGAGCAAACAGG
rnacentral:rRNA from 1 species